GAUGAAGAACGUAGCGAAAUGCGAUAAGUAAUGUGGAUUGCAGAAUUCAGUGAAUCAUCGAAUCUUUGAACGCACCUUGCACCCUUUGGACUGCUCCAAAGGGUAUGCUCGUUUGAGUGUCAUUGUACUCUCACACUCUCUGAUCCUUUGGAUUUGGGGAGCAGUGGACUUGGGUGCUUGCUGCUUCCUUGUGGCUCACCUGAAAUGCAUCAGUGCAUCUCUCGAUUGGACAUAGUACGGCGUGAUAAGUGUCUUCGCCGGCACCUCAUAUGAGGGUGGCCGAUCGGGAGCUCUGUGCUUUCAAACCGUCUUCGGACAACGCUGACAACUUGACCUCAAAUCGAGUAGGACUACCCGCUGAACUUAAGCAUAUCAAUAAGCGGAGGA
rnacentral:misc_RNA from 1 species